rnacentral:rRNA from 1 species
UACGUAGGGGGGCAAGCGUUGUCCGGAUUUAUUGGGCGUAAAGAGCGUGUAGGCGGCCAUGCAGGUCAGCUGUGAAAACUCGAGGCUCAACCUCGAGACGUCGGUUGAAGCCGUAUGGCUAGAGUCCGGAAGAGGAGAGUGGAAUUCCCGGUGUAGCGGUGGAAUGCGUAGAGAUCGGGAAGAACACCCCGUGGCGAAGGCGACGUGCUGGGCUGUUUCUGACGCUGAGAUGCGAAAGUGUGGGGAGCAAACGGG